rnacentral:rRNA from 1 species
CCCCUAGAUGUUCUGGGCCGCACGCGCGCUACACUGAAUAGUUCAACAAGUCUUAACCUUGGCCGAUAGGUCUGGGUAAUCUUUGAACGCUGGUCGUGAUGGGGAUAGACUUUUGCAAUUUUUGGUCUUCAACGAGGAAUUCCUAGUAAACGCAAGUCAUCAACUUGCAUUGAUUACGUCCCUGCCCUUUGUACACACCGCCCGUCGCACCUACCGAUUGAAUGGUCCGGUGAAGCCUCCGGAUUGGCGCGCACCUCGGUGCCGCCGAGAAGUUGGCUAAACCUUACCAUUUAGAGGAAGGUGAAGUCGUAACA